CUCUCACAAAGGCCUGUGAAACGCAGUUUCUUCCCAGCCCUGAUCUCGCUGAAGUAGAAUUUCUGCUCUGCAGUCUAAUACAUUGCCCUAGAGGUGGAAGUCACAAAGCCCUGCAUGGCUUUCUAAAGAGGACUCAGGCCACAGACCGUCUUGCUUCCAGCUCUUUCACAAUGUGAGAUAGAAGUCGCUUUCCACUGCUCUCUUACAGCCUACCGGGAACCUCUCAUACAAAGACCUGAAAUGCAAUUUGUUACCAGGCCAGAUCUCGCCACGUUGGAACUUCUGCUCAAACCCAUGUCCUACAUUGCUCUAGAGGUGGAAGUGACAAAGCACCGAGUCAUUGCCAACAAAGGAGACAAGCCACAAACGGUCUUGCUUCCAGCUCUUUGGGAAGCUAAGAAACAGCUCGCUCUCCACAGUGCUCUUACAGCCUACCGGGAACAUAUCUUACAAAGGCCUGUGAAAUGCACUUUCUUCCCAGCCCUGAUCUCGCUGAAGUAGGACUUCUGCUCUGCCGUGUAAUACAUUGCCCUAGAGGUGGAAGACACAAUGGCCUGCCUGACUUCCUUAAGAAGAGACAGGACACAGACCGUCUUGCUUACAGCUCUUUGCCAAGGUGAGAAUGAACUUGCUUCCCCCGGGCUCUUACAUCCUACAGGGAAAUACUCACACAAACUCCUGAAUCACAGUUUGUUUCCAGCCCUGAUCUCUCCACCUUGGAACUUCUGCUCUAAUCCAAGUCCUACAUUGCUCUAGAGGUGGAAGUCACAAAGCGCUGAGUCAUUCCCUCCAAGGAGACAAUCCACAAACAGUCUUGCUUCCAGUUCUUUGGGAAGCUAAGAAACAACUCGCUCUCCAAAGUGCUCUUAAAGCCUGCUGGGAACAUAUCUUAAAAAGGGCUGUGAAACGCAGUUUCUUCCCAGCCCUGAUCUCGCUGUAGUAGAAAUUCUGCUCUGCCGAGUAAUACAUUUCCCUAGAGGUUGAAGUCACAAUGGCCUGCGUGGCUUCCUUAAGAGGAGACAGGCCACAGACCAUCUCGCUUCCAGCUCUUUGGCAAGGUGAGAAAGAGGUCGCUUUCCACAGGGCUCUUAGAGCCUACCAGGAAGGUCUCAUACAAAGUCCUGAAAUGCAGUUUGUUUCCAGCCAUGAUCUCACCACCUUGGAACGUCUGCUCUAAUCCAAGUCCUACAUUGCUCUAGAGAUGGAAGACACAAAGCGCUGAGUCAUUGCCGCCAAAGAAGACAAGCCACAAACGGUCUUGCUUCUAGCACUUUGGGAAGCUAAGAAACAACUCACUCUUCACAGUGCUCUUACAGCCUACCGGGAAUAUGUUUCACUAAGAUGUGUGAAACGCAGUUGCUUCCCAGAUGU
rnacentral:lncRNA from 1 species